GGGAAAGGCUUCAUUACUAACCGGAUGAGAGAAUUUACAGACGAUAUGAUAAAAGCCAGAAAAAAUACAAAACCAGAACACUUGUUAUUACAGAAGAUCAAGAAGAUGACAUUAAUGAUGAUAAAGUAACACAUUUAAAAGUGAAAGCAAGCCAUACAGUUUCAACAGACAGAAAUUUCAAGGAUCUCUCUGAUGCCAUGGCAGCGACAUUUAAUAACAGACAGAAAUGGAUCAAGCAAGGCUCUCCGUCUCUGAGAGAGAUUCUUACAGAUUAUCCCAGAUAUGUUGAUACACCAGAUUUGAUUUCAAUAGAUUUUAAAAGAUUAUAUAUAUCCUGAUUGCUGUCAGACAUCUGUAGAUAUUGAAAAUGAAUGGGCCAAAAAAAUAAUAAAAUAUUGUCAAGCAAAUUGGCGUUGUCUUGAUGUAGGGAAUCUGGAUUUGGAGAUGCAAUAUGAUCCAAGUGAGUAGUUGACCUAUCUUUCAUGCAUUUUUGUUAUGAAGAGUAGCUAUUUGUAAUGAGCUCCCGGUGUUGACAGAGAAAG